GGGACUGUGGCUCAAUGGAAGAGCAUUGGCUUUGCAUGUAAAAAGUCUCAGGUUUGAUCCCUGGCAUCUCCA